rnacentral:rRNA from 1 species
UACGUAGGGGCUAGCGUUGUCCGGAUUUAUUGGGCGUAAAGAGCGUGUAGGCGGCCAGGUAAGGUCUGCUGUGAAAACUCGAGGCUCAACCUCGAGAUGUCGGCGGAAACCAUCUGGCUAGAGUCCGGAAGAGGAAAGUGGAAUUCCUGGUGUAGCGGUGAAAUGCGCAGAUAUCUGGAGGAACGCCGGUGGCGAAAGCGACGUGCUGGACCUUCACUGACGCUGAGGCGCGAAAGCCAGGGGAGCAAACGGG